UGCGUAGGGACCAAGCGUUGUUCGGAUUUACUGGGCGUAAAGGGCGCGUAGGCGGCAAUUCAAAUCAGCUGUGAAAUCUCCGGGCUUAACUCGGAACGGUCAGCUGAUACUGCUUUGCUAGAGUGCAGAAGGGGCAAUCGGAAUUCUUGGUGUAGCGGUGAAAUGCGUAGAUACCAAGAGGAACACCUGAGGUGAAGACGGGUUGCUGGGCUGACACUGACGCUGAGGCGCGAAAGCUAGGGUAGCAAACGGG
rnacentral:rRNA from 1 species